rnacentral:rRNA from 1 species
UACAGGGGGUGCAAGCGUUGCUCGGAAUCACUGGGCGUAAAGCGAACGCAGGCGGACCAUCAAGUCAGGGGUGAAAGCCCGAGGCUCAACCUCGGAACUGCCUUUGAAACUGGUGGUCUUGAGUACGGGAGAGGUGAGUGGAAUUCCUGGUGUAGAGGUGAAAUUCGUAGAUAUCAGGAGGAACACCGGCGGCGAAGGCGGCCCUCUGGAUCGUUGCUGACGCUGAGACGCGAAAGCGUGGGGAGCAAACAGG